rnacentral:rRNA from 1 species
UACGUAGGGGGCAAGCGUUGUCCGGAAUUAUUGGGCGUAAAGAGCACGUAGGCGGUUAGAUAAGUUGGAUGUGAAAGGCUACGGCUCAACCGUAGAGCGGCAUCCAAAACUGUUUAACUUGAGUGCAGCAGAGGAAAGUGGAAUUCCUGGUGUAGCGGUGAAAUGCGCAGAUACCAGGAAGAACACCCGUGGCGAAGGCGGCUCUCUGGGACGGUACUGACGCUGAGACGCGAAAGCGUGGGGAGCAAACAGG